AUACGUAGGGGGCGAGCGUUGUCCGGAAUGAUGGGGCGUAAAGGGCGCGUAGGCGGCCUGUUAAGUCUGGAGUGAAAGUCCUGUUUUCAAGAUGGGAAUUGCUUUGGAUACUGAUGGGCUUGAGUGCAGGAGAGGUUAUCGGAAUUCCCGGUGUAGCGGUGAAAUGCGUAGAGAUCGGGAGGAACACCAGUGGCGAAGGCGGGUAACUGGACUGCAACUGACGCUGAGGCGCGAAAGUGUGGGGAGCAAACAGGAUUAGAUACCCUGGUAGUCCACACUGUAAACGAUGAAUGCUAGGUGUAAGAGGUAUCGACCCCUUUUGUGCCGGAGUUAACACAAUAAGCAUUCCGCCUGGGGAGUACGGCCGCAAGGUUGAAACUCAAAUGAAUUGACGGGG
rnacentral:rRNA from 1 species